rnacentral:rRNA from 1 species
GUGGGGAAUAUUGGGCAAUGGGGGAAACCCUGACCCAGCGACGCCGCGUGAGGGAAGACGGCCUUCGGGUUGUAAACCUCUUUUGUACGGGAAGAAGGAAGUGACGGUACUGUACGAAUAAGUCCCGGCUAACUACGUGCCAGCAGCCGCGGUAAUACGUAGGGGACGAGCGUUGUCCGGAAUUACUGGGCGUAAAGGGCGCGCAGGCUGUGCUGCAAGUCAGCUGUGAAAUGUCUGGGCUUAACGCGGGCAUGCGGUUGAGACUGCAGUGCUGGAGUGCUGUAGAGGCGAGUGGAAUUCCCAGUGUAGCGGUGAAAUGCGUAGAUAUUGGGAAGAACACCGGUGGCGAAGGCGACUUGCUGGGCAGCUACUGACGCUGAGGCGCGAAAGCCAGGGGAGCAAACGGGAUUAGAAACCCGAGUAGUCC